UGCGUAAAGACUCAGCUGUGAUGGACCAACCCAGAAAGACGAUCCUGUUGGUUCUGUUGGUUCUGUUGGCGUUGGUGUUGGAGGUCCAGGUCGACUGUACAGGUAAUAGAACCAUCUCAGCUCAUGUUGGAGAUAAUGUCACACUGCCAUGUGAGGCUACAGGUGGUGUGGACUUUGAAGCUGAUAUUGUAGAGUGGAACAGAACAGACCUGGAUCCACAUCAGUGUGUCCUCUUCUACAGAGAGGGUAGACCUUAUGCAGAUGACCAGCACCCAUCCUAUAAAGACCGUGUGAAUCUGGUCCAGAGUCAGCUGAUGGGUGGAGACCUGUCAGUGGUUCUGAAGAACGUGACGACAAACGACUCUGGAACGUUUGAGUGUCGACUGAUCCAGAAGUCGAUGUAUGUGAAACGAAGAAAGAGAUCCAGGUCCAGGUCUAACCCUAAACCCAUCAGCACCAUCGUCCUGAAGGUCUCAGAUCCAGGUUCCACUGGAAACACGAAGCAGACAGAAGACGAUGAGAAAGGAGACAAAGGAGGACAUGAGGACAGACAAAGACUUGGACUGAUAGUUGGAUCUGUUGUUGUUGUUGUUGUUGCUGUUGUUCUUCUCUCUGUGGGUCUGUGGGUCUUUUGUUGUCCAUAG
rnacentral:lncRNA from 1 species